rnacentral:rRNA from 1 species
GAUGAACGCUGGCGGCGUGCUUAACACAUGCAAGUCGAACGAGAAAUGGAGACGGAAACCUUCGGGCGGAAGGCUUCAUUUCGAGUGGCGGACGGGUGAGUAACGCGUGGGUAACCUGCCUCAUACAGGGGGAUAACAGUUGUAAACGACUGUUAAUACCGCAUAAGACCACAGCACCGCAUGGUGCGGGGGUAAAAACUCCGGUGGUAUGAGAUGGACCCGCGUUCGAUUAGCCAGUUGGCGGGGUAACGGCCCACCAAAGCGACGAUCGAUAGCCGAUCUGAGAGGAUGACCGGCCACAUUGGGACUGAGACACGGCCCAAACUCCUACGGGAGGCAGCAGUGGGGAAUAUUGCACAAUGGGGGAAACCCUGAUGCAGCGACGCCGCGUGAGUGAAGAAGUACUUCGGUAUGUAAAGCUCUAUCAGCAGGGAAGAAAAUGACGGUACCUGAGUAAGAAGCCCCGGCUAACUACGUG